AUGGCGGCGGCCGCACUACGUCCGGCGAUCCUCCGCCACAUCCGGCUCUCCCCCGCCACGGCGGCCCCUCUCGCCGCCGCCGGCCGGCCCCUCGCCCUGGCGCCGUGGCUCGCGCGGCCAAUGUCCUCCCACGACGCCCACCUCACCCGCGACGAGGUCGUCGGCCGCGUCCUCGACGUCCUCAAGUGCCACCCCAAGGUCGACCCCUCCAAGGUGACCCCCGAGGCGCACUUCGAGAAGGAUCUGGGGCUGGACAGCCUGGACACGGUGGAGGUGGUGAUGGCGAUCGAGGAGGAGUUCAAGCUCGAGAUCCCCGACCUGGAGGCUGACAAGAUUAACUCGCUUCCGCUCGCCAUCGAGUACGUCGCCAACCACCCCAUGGCCGGCUGA
rnacentral:rRNA from 1 species